UCAGAUAGAGCAGCAAGAAGGAGGAUACGAUUGGAUAGGGAUUUAGAGCCAGGCAAUUUGACAGUGCCUGAUAUUUCUUUGAUGGGUUGCAGCACAAUCUCAGAAGGUUUCUGGGUUGUAGCCACUGAUGCUGAAAUCCUAAAAGAAGAAGAACACGACCUUGUUGUCAAAACUGAAUCUUUAUUCAAAACCCACAAACAUUUUACUGAUUUUUUCAGGUUUUUAGAUCCAAAAGGAAGUGAAGGGAGA
rnacentral:misc_RNA from 1 species